AUGGUGAGAAGAGUGAUGGGCUUGUUACUUGUUGUGAUGCAGAAGUCCCUGGCUCCGUGGUGGUUAGGCCAAAACGGAAACUGGAUCAUGCUUGGAUGGUAUAUUCUGAAUUAAAUGACAACCCGACAGAGGCUGAUGCAUCUCAAGUUUGUGAAGCUCUUCUAACAUUACUAGUAGAGGUAGGACAGAGGAGAAGACAUGAACUAUCAAGCAAAGAUGAAUGAAGCGUAUACAAACAUCCUCCGGUUUCUGGAUAUUGAUGCUUAACGAGGUGUUUCAUCCAUCUUGUCAUAAUAUGUUUCGGUCGUUUUUGUUGAAAAUACAGAAUAGAAUAUAUAAAAUUAUCACAUGCAUAUUGAACAACCACCCCCUCGCCCCCCGGGCUCUUCCCUUUUCUAUAAUCGAAAAAAAAGGGAAGGAAUGUGGCUGGUAAAAAAAAAUGGGUGAAGAAUGAAGCUUUUUCUUAUGUG
rnacentral:misc_RNA from 1 species